rnacentral:rRNA from 1 species
AGUGAACGCUGGCGGCAGGCCUAAUACAUGCAAGUCGAACGGCAGCACAGCAGAGCUUGCUCUGUGGGUGGCGAGUGGCGGACGGGUGAGGAAUACAUGGGAAUCUGCCCAGUCGUGGGGGAUAACGUAUGGAAACGUACGCUAAUACCGCAUGCGCCCUACGGGGGAAAGUCGGGGACCGCAAGGCCUGGCGCGAUUGGAUGAGCCCAUGUUCGAUUAGCUAGUUGGCGGGGUAAAGGCCCACCAAGGCGACGAUCGAUAGCUGGUCUGAGAGGAUGAUCAGCCACACUGGAACUGAGACACGGUCCAGACUCCUACGGGAGGCAGCAGUAGGGAAUAUUGGACAAUGGGGGCAACCCUGAUCCAGCCAUGCCGCGUGAGUGAAGAAGGCCCUCGGGUUGUAAAGCUCUUUUGCUCGGGAACAAUAUUUUGAGCGUACCGAGAGAAUAAGAGGUUGCUAACUCUGUGCCAGCAGC